rnacentral:ncRNA from 1 species
UCUCGAUAAUGGCAAAACUGGCGAAAGCCAGCGACGCAAAGCUAAAGGGGCUCCGUUCUCCAUCUGGAACGUGCUUGCCAGCUGCCGAA